rnacentral:lncRNA from 1 species
AUAUCUUAUUAGAAUUGUGUCAGUUUUAUUAUAAUUAUAGUAGUUAAUUAUGCAGUUAUGGUUUAUUAUUAUAUUAUGAUUAAUAAUUAAUUAAGUCAGUAGUGGGAGGUUAAGUUUUAAGAAUAAAUAGGGGAGGGAUGGGAAGAUUGAGGGGCAUCUGAGGAUUUGACUGGGAAGGGGCCAUUUUGGCAAUAGGGAGGUGCAGACCCUCGAAGUUCUGCAAUAUUAUUCUGUAAUCAAAGGGAUUUUCCCUAUUUUAUUCUUCUAUAUCAGUUGAUUUCUAUCAACUGGUAUCAGAGCAUCGAUCUUGGAACCGUUGUACCGUUAUGGAAGAAAUGGAGUUUCGAGUGUUUGAUGGCAAAGAAGAUGCAUACUGGUGGCUGCUAUGCAUUGAGGAACAUUUCAAAAAGAGAGAUACACCAGAUGAGGAGAAACUGACAGAUGCGUUGAUGUUACUCAGAGGUCGUACUCGCCAAUGGUCACACUGGUGGAAUCGACGCCAUCAACAGGUUAGUUGGCAUAUGUUCUCACUUGCAUUUAUUUGGCGUUUUAAACCGGAAUAUCGGGAUAUCAUGCCUAUGUCUGAUGAAGAAGAGGAACCUGAAACUGAAUUGGAGUGGUUGACGACUCAAGGUUCAUUCAAUAUUCAACCACAAGAUAUUGACCAGGGCAAUCCAAAUCCCACCGCGAUAGGAGAAGAGAAAGGUUGGGAAGAUGUAGAAAUGGGGAAAAUAGAGAGAGAUGUAGAAAAUGUCCAUAUGCAUGUCAUGAUUGUGGAAAUGGGACAGGAGAGCAAAACAGAUUUGUGCAAACUUCUUUGCAAUAAAGAAAUGAGUAUGGGGUCAGAGAUAAGGGGAACUACUGUGGGCACCACGACAUCAAUCAUCCUGUAUUUUUUGCUAAAAAAUAUCACCACAAACAGGGUAUAUGAUCAAGGCAUAAGUUUGCAUGAUUCACACAGUGCUCUGUCAUUAUACUUCAAGUUAUGGGACCCAGGUGGACACUUAUGAUAUCCUUCACCUUGAGGACAAGGUGAAUCUUUAGGGGGGGAGUAUUGUUGGAUAUCUUAUUAGAAUUGUGUCAGUUUUAUUAUAAUUAUAGUAGUUAAUUAUGCAGUUAUGGUUUAUUAUUAUAUUAUGAUUAAUAAUCAAUUAAGUCAGUAGUGGGAGGUUAAGUUUUAAGAAUAAAUUGGGGAGGGAUGGGAAGAUUGAGGGGCAUCUGAGGAUUUGACUGGGAAGGGGCCAUUUUGGCAAUAGGGAGGUGCAGACCCUCGAAGUUCUGCAAUAUUAUUCCGUAAUCAAAGGGAUUUUCCCUAUUUUAUUCUUCUAUAUCAGUUGAUUUCUAUCAGAGAGCCCGUAAUAUGACCAUGUGGUUGUCCAUGCCAAGUGUUGGAAUUAUAAUCACAUGCUAUGCAACCAACUUUAGAGUGUCCUGAUCGACGUAGAGGUUGUAUAAAAAACCUGUAAGUGACUAAUUAUAGCUUGUUAAUAACCUGAAAACUGAAAUUUAAUAACCUUAACAUCCAAAACAAGCUAUAAUUAGUCACAAACAUGAGGUAUCCUAAUUAAUACUUCAAACUUAACGCAGCCAGAAUUACACUACCACAGGCCCCUGCCCACUACCUCUAGAACCACUAUCACCUCGCACAGAAGCCUUUUUUCAACAAAUAUUGACCAUCGACAGCAUGGAAACUGAUUUCCAAUCACACCAGAGUUUGACCCACAACUUGAAAACACUCAACCACUAUCCAAUUUUAAUUCAAACAAAAACUGAACCUCAACCACAACAAAGAGGGUUGAGAGAUGGAGUGAUGCAGCCAGACAAAUGAGAAUAGAGGGUUGAGAUAGUUGAGGAAAUAUGCGAAGAGGUGAACAGAUAGACUCGAAAGAGAUUGGUUUCUAUUGUCGGAAAAGCAAAAUGGCAUUUUAGGGCUCAAGCAAGGUUAAAAACCUGGGUUUAGGGGAACCAAGUUGCACAAGCUGACUCAUUAACUCUCUUUGAGAUCUCAUAUUCUCAUGAUCUCAACAAUCUUGCAUGUGAUCUCACAUCGAACAGAAAUUUUGCAUUUGUUCCAACUCAUAUAGAGGUGCCAAGAUUGUAAGAUUGUGUGAUGUUAUGAUUUAGAUCGUGAUCUUGACAACACUGAUCAAAAUUAUUUUUGUUAUUUUCUGUAGGUAGGUAUACCACAGUAGUACUGGUCUAUACUGGCUAAGGGGCUUUAUAGUGGGUUGGUUUUUUCGUUUAGUACCAAUACCAUGGAAUUAAGACACUCGACAGUGUGGUUCCAAUUCACAAUAAUUUGUUUUUCUCUACAAGUCCUUUGCUUCUCUGGUUUUUUAGUUAUUUACUUAACUUGUUAUAAUCAUGAACACUUAACUGAAUUCUUUACAAUACUGUUUGGAAGAUUGAGUUCUCAGUUUUGUAUAGUCCGGCCCACCCCCUUUGCAAUUAUCUUAUUUCUAGCAUAUCUAAUUCCUUCAUUUAAUUAUUCCAGGUCUUACAGUGUAGUCGCACCUGGAAAUACUGUGAACAUAAUUGGUGAAUUUGACGAAGGGGGCAGUUGUGAUAUUAAUCAUGAUAAUAAUUUUUUGAUUGUACACCCGGAUAUUCUUGUGUCUGGAACACGGGUAGUUAUCUUGUACUCUCUCAUCCAAAUUACGUACUUCCAGAUGUUACUUCAGUCUUGUCAACAUAUUUUUGUAUUAAGAGUGAUUUCUUACAGUUUCAGAUUAUGAAACUCUAUCUUGUCAAAUAUUUCCUUUAUAAUAAGUGUUAUUUAUUCUAAAGUGGACAUACUGCAGAUUGUGUUAAACUUUAUUUUUUUUCUUCACAUCUACAUGCUUUAAAAGUGGUGGUUUUAGCAGACAUGUCAGGUGCAAUUCGUAUAGUCCUAGAUUUGCAUCUAUUUAUUUUCUAGUCCAACUUAGGGAACUUUGAUCCUUUAGUUGAUUUUAAUUAGAAAUGGUUAUUGUGCUUCAUGUUUCUGGAUUUUAAGGAAUUAUCGAAGCAGGCUCGUGUCGGUUGGAUUGUCCAUGCUGAAUAUCGAAGUAGGCUCAUUUCGGCUUGAUUGUCCAUGCUGAAUGUCUUUGUGUGCAUAUCGAUUUAUUUUAGGUGAUAUAUAAUUAGGCAUGUGUAUAUUCCUAAUAUAAAAGUAUAUUCCAGGUCGCUUCCAGUUUUACUUGCCCAAGGAGAACUGUCUUAGAUGAAAGGCUAAAAUGCAAUGAGUACUCAACUGCAGCUUUAUGUGGAACCUUGCUUCACCAAAUUUUUCAGGUCUCUAAAAUACAUCAUGUAACCUGUACGACAGUAUAUAUAUUUACAUGUUCUCCCAUUUCAAUGAAUCGGCAUUAAACAUAUACUUCUUUAUACACAUGUGUAUUUAUGUAUGUGUAUAUUAUAAUUAUAUUUGGGCUUGGUUUCUUCGUGUAGGCUGGGCUUACAAAUGACAAUCCUACAAUAGACUUCUUGGAGUCUUACACAGAAGUGGUUUUACAAAGAAAUGUUGAAAGUUUAUUUGCAUGUGGAGGUGUGGCAUUGUGUCUUUCUCUUUAUAUUAUCACGUAUUUAUAUGUACACACAUCUCAUUGGAGUUCGGAAUUUAAUCAACAGUCAUUCUUGGAUAAAACAUAUUUAGUGACUGUGGACCAUUUUAUUGGGGAGCACUAAUUUAUUCUUCACGUGAACAUUGCAGUAAAUGAAAAGGAUGUUCACAAAACCAUGAUUGAUGCUAUCCCUAGAAUAUACAAUUGGAUCAUGCUGUUCAGAAAUAUGGAGGUGGGUCAAAAUCGUUCAUGCUCUGUUCUCAAACACUAAUUGUUGUUAUAGUUUAGAAUGGCCAUAUUUCCUUUGUUAUUGCCAAAUGUAACUUUCUAGGUUAAAAGGUCAUAUGUUCUUUUUCACCUUUUUCUAAAAUCUAUAUCAUUUUAUUAGGAAAAUGCUUAAAUCCCAUUUUUUAUUUUGAAAUAUUUUGACUGAUGACUUGGGGUAUUUUGUCAGGAAAGAGAAGAUCCUAACGUUAAUUUUGGAAGUGUUAAUGGAAUGAAGAAUAUUGGCAUAUCUGAGGCAAGCUCUAAUUUGCUUUCUUGUGUAUAACUGAAUGAUCAUUCAUGCAUAUUGUGUAAACAGAAAUAUAAAUCUAGCAGAAGUACAUUUAUGACUAAGCAAGCUGCGAGUUACUUUAGAUUCUAAUACGUUUGAGGCUUAUUUGUCCUACAAAUACGCAAUCUAUAUGCUUUUUCAGUCCGAUCAUUUUUUAAGAUAUGUUAUCCUUGCAAUAGUUGUGUAUUUUCUCUCUUCUACUUGAUAUAAUUUUAUCUAUUGUCAAAUUAAAGGUUUAAGUGAUUGUAUUUUAGCAGAACAGUCUUUGAUAGGUAAAAGCGUGAAUGUAGGUAUUCGAUGUGUAUCACUUAUUUCCAGGAUAUGCUCAUAAAUGCAUGUCAGAUUGCCCUUGAUAAUAAAUGUUUUGCAUAAAAUGCACAUAUAUGCACUUUUAGAAUCUUAUGUUAUUAGUAGGUAAUUGAUAUUGAAGAAAUGGCAUGGGCACCAAAAUAUGGUUUAAAAGGGAUGAUUGAUGCUUCGGUUAGAGUGAAGGUUCAUUCUAGAAAAGAUCGACCAGAGGGGAAGAUCAUGCCAGUAGAGUUCAAAACUGGAAAAUCACCUAGUGGCCAGGCAAGAUUCCGGUCCUCAUUUCUAAUCAACCCAUAAAAAUUCAGAUAAGAUAAAUACACCAGUUUUAACAUGUUUUGCUUGUUAUAUCUGCAGACAUCAGUAGAACAUAAUGCCCAAGUAAUUCUGUACACUCUCCUGAUGUCUGAAAGGUUCAAACUAUUUAUUUCUUACAGAACAUGUAUAUAUACAUAUGCAUUGAAGGAUUAGUCUAAAAGAUUUCUUUUAUUUAUGUUGUCUUGCUUAUGUUAAUAGGUACAAGAAGACCAUUGAUUCUGGUCUUCUGUAUUAUCUCCAAACAGAUCAGACACAGGUAAGGUUUUGUUGCUUUAAAUCAGUUUCUUCCUGUUAAUGAAGGUAACAUUGUUGAAUUUUUUAUGUACAAAAGGGAAUUACGGUUCAAAGAUCUGACUUAGUUGGGUUAAUAAUACGGCGUAAUGAGCUUGCAAGUGAGAUUCUCAAAGCAUUAGUCUUGCAACAACUUCCACCAGUGUUACAGGUAUGUGGUUUCCCAUAAUGUUAAAUAAUGUGCUUUUAAUGACUUCAUCAGAAUGUCAUUACAAGUCUUCAUUUUCUGAUUGUAGAGUACUAGCAUGUGCAGAGGUUGUCGACAUCUUAAUGUCUGUAGCAUUUAUCAUAAGGUACUUCUUUACCUUGUAGAUAAUAAUUCUAUUGACUGCUUUGAAAGACCACCGGUGAUUGGGAAUUUUUUUAUUUUUUUUUAUUGUGGAUUAUCUAUAUAUAUAUAUAUAAUUUAUAUUUAGUAAUUGCAUUUAUACUUCCAAAGUUAAGAAUAAGAUACCAUGCCCUAAAAGUGUACAAUUUUAAUGAAUUUAACCAUUGUCCAGUAUCUCUUAUUGCACUCUGUUCCUUCCCAUUAUGAUUAUUGGAAGUAAUAUCUGUGUAAUCCUUUGUAAUCUAGCACUGGCUGGUCUUGAUCACACAUAUGCCUAGCACUAUUUGGAAUAUGUAUUAGAGUAGUGAAGAUGUUAAAAGACGUGAAACUAUAUUGUCAUAUGGAGCAUGUCAUAAUGUUAUUACUUAAUUUAAGUAAGAAUGUUGUCUAGGUAAUAUGUUUUCUCAUAUGUUCAUGGUACCUUAACAAUAAAAUGCAUAGGCACAUGGUGGAAGCGUCGAGAACAAUGGAUUGGGAGAUAUUUUUGAUUCCAAUACUAAUCACUUAAGAUCAUCUCAUUCUAAGUUCCUCUGCCAUUGGGAUCAUUUGAUUGACUUGGAAGCGAAAGGGACUGAGGUGAAAAUUUUAAAAUCUUUUGUUUGCCUUUUGUCCUCUAAGAUUUAUUCUUAUUUGUCAUAUUAUAAAAAUUCCUUCUUUUUCCAAUUUCUUAUUUCCUUGAAUAUUUCAGUUCAUAAAGAAAGACGUGUGGCGUUCAUAUAAUUUGAGGAGUCGCAGCGCCGGUGGUGUUUCUUCUAUUGUUAUUGAUGCUUCACAAGGAAUACCUUAUUCAACAUCUCACGAAGAUAAUCGUUUCAUUUAUCGUUUUGUACCACAAGAUAAUUCUUAUCCCUCUAUAGUUUCUGAUGAUGAUCCUUCUAGUGCCUCUUUGAAAAAUGAUUUGGAUCUCACACUGAGAAGUGGUGACUAUGUGGUAUGAGUAAUGGUUGUCUUUUGCAUUAUUUAAUCAUCGAUUAUUUAACUUCUUAAUUAGUAACUUAUGUUUAUUUACUUUUUAGAUAUUGAGUAAUGAAUCGAGCCAUCAAACUAUUGCAAAAGGGGUGAUUUCAGAUAUUAGUCACAAUCAUAUAUCUGUGAGUCUUAUAAUUAUUUCUUUUUUGUUUGUUUUCUGCUUUUUACCUAAAAUUACCAUUUUACUUCUUAUUAUCUUGACAAGCACAUGUAGCCAAAGACAACGUAGCAUAAUCCUUGGUUCAACAAUUUUUUCUUCCUGAGUUGAUCAGUUCUUGUUAUCACUUUUUAAAAUUCUCGUAGGUUUCCUUUUCCAAGCUCUUGAGAAUUCCUGGGAGGUCUUCCACGGAACAUGAUCUCCUUCAGCAGGUUUGGAGAAUCGACAAGGAUGAAGCUGUGACUUCAUUUGCAAUUAUGAGGUGCUUUUUGGUCUACUGCUUUUUACAAACUUUGAUUUGCUAGGUGUGACAAAUUAGAUGUUAUAAUUAUUUGUUUGUCAUUUUAUUUGAAGGUUUAAUCUUGUACAACUUUUUCUACAAGAUGAUCAAAGUGGUCAUCUCCGGAGGAUGAUUGUUGACCUUGAGGUAAAUAACUUGCUAUUUAUGAAUGCAUUCCCCUCUCCCAAGAUCACCAUGUUUACUAAAUUCUGAUUUCUCCUUUUCUCUGUCCUCCUGAUGGCAUGCUUCCUAUAGGCUCCUAGAUUUGACGGUAGCUCUAUAGUUAGCCAUGAUCCAGCAAUAUCUUACGUUUGGUCUGAGCAGAGUUUGAAUGAUGAUCAACGUAGAGCAAUUCUCAAGGUUUCUGAUGAAGUUGAAAUUUCAGGAAUUCAUUUCAUUAAUUUAUUCAAGUUGCUUUAGUUUGUCAUCAAUAAAAUAAUAUCUCUUGGUGUUCCGCUUUGUUGCUGAUUGUCAGAUACUUGUGGCAAAAGAUUAUGCACUUAUAUUAGGGAUGCCUGGAACGGGAAAGACAUCCACCAUGGUCCAUGCUGUGAAAGCCUUAUUGAUUAGAGGGACAUCCAUUUUACUAACAGCCUAUACAAAUUCUGCUGUUGAUAAUUUACUAAUCAAGUUAAAAGCACAGGUAUCCAUGCAUGCGUAUUAUAACAUCUUCAUUUAUUGCAUCUUAUCAUUAAAUAUGCCUGCUUGUUGCAUGUAAAGCAUGCAGGGUAUUUUCUUAAAUUGAUCAUUGUCUAUCUAUGAAGCACAGACUCAGACACUGACAACUUACAACACACAAACACAUUGACAUUGCUAAUGUCAAAAGCAUAGGACACUAAAACAGAUAGAUAAAUAUAUAUUAAUUUAUUUAUUGUAAUUAUUUUAAUUAAUAAAAUAUGAACAUUAUUUAUAAAAAUUUAAAUUGUGAACUGAAAUCAAGCAAUCUGCUUCAUUACAAAAUUCUAAAACAAGGUAUGAUAGUUUUUAACUUCAUUCUUCUAUCUACCACCGAAAAGCUAAAAAUGAUGUAAUCAAAUUUAAUGUCUUACACAUUCAUUGCUAAUCACUUAAUCAACACAUCUAAAACAAUAGAGAGUUGUCACAAGAAACAUUGUUCUUUGUCCUUUAUUAUAGUUUCCAUAAAGCAUCUUUUUCUUUUCUAUUUCAUCUUCUGAGAUUGUUCUGCUGGUGUUCCCAAGAAACUAAGUUGACCUAAGUCUUUGGUUUGGAAUUGCAUCUAUAAGUGUUGCGUAAGGUUCUUAAUGUUCUUUUUUUUGGAUUAAUGUUUUCUUGAUCAUCACCUUUAAUGAUAAUAUCAUCAACAUGCACCACACGCUAAAUAUGUUGAUUUUGGUGAGCAUCCUCUUUCUCAGACGCAGAAAUACCAGUAGCCUUAGUGAGGUGUUCAGGAAGCUUGGCCGUCAAAUACCAUAAAUCCAUGCAUUACGAUAAUCCAAAAAAUUCUUUCCAUUUAAUUUCUUGGAGGUAAUGGUGUGGGAACUAAAAAACACAAAGGGGAUUCAGCUCUUUUUCUUACUGUGUUUCUGUUGAUAUUUGUCAGAAAAUAUCAGAGUACUUAAUUUUCUUUUCUGUUGUAUGGCCUUCUAUAGUCCAAUGACUAUAAUAUAACGUGGUUUUAUAUUUCUUAAAUUAUAACUUUACACUUCAUUAAAUGUUAUUGCAAUAUAAAUGGAUCCAGGGCAUUGAUUUUGUACGUGUUGGAAGACAUGAAGCAGUACAUGAAGAGGUUAGAGGGCACUGCCUCUCAGGUUUGCCAAUUUUUAACUAGUACUCUUCCUUUUAAUUCGUCAUAAUUUUUGAAUAAAAAUCUUUUGACAGAAGUAUCUAUCACAGAAACAAACGUAAAGAGUGUUGAAGAUAUCAAAAUAAGGUUAGAACAAGUCAAAGUUGUUGCAGUUACUUGUUUGGGCAUUUCCAGUCCCCUGCUUGCCAAUAGGAGAUUUGAUGUAUGCAUUAUGGAUGAAGCUGGGCAGACCACUCUGCCGGUAUGUUUCUUUUUUAGCUCAUAAAUUUUCAAGGCAUAUGUGACAUCAAUGACAUGUAUAUGUACCGAUAGGAAGGUUGUAAUUUGUAGCAGCGUUGAAAAAUUGAUUGUAUUAGUGGCAAAAUUAUCUCUUUGCUGCUGAAAUAAACUGACACAAAAUGAAAGCAUGUAUUUGGAAUGAAAAGAGACGAAUGGCAAUGCAGCCUCUAUGAUGGCUUGCCACCUUUUAUCCAAAGACCCUUAAUUGAACUUGGUGUUAGCCAUGGUGAAUGACAGAUUAUGGCAGCCAGCCAGAAACCCGCCAUAUAAACAUAGUGUUGCACCCUAUAGAUGAAACAUGGCGGAUAUAAUAGGUGUGCAGCCUAUGGAGAUGGCGGAUAUAAUCUAGAAACAAACAUGCAGGGUCUGGUGUGAGUUUUAUUUUUUUGAAAGCGGAUCUUGUGUGAGUUGAAUAGUUUAGAAUGGUCAACUUAUAUUUUGCAAUGAGGUUGUGCAAAUAUAUAUAUACAAAAGAGGAACUGACAAUAAAGAGGAACUGAAAUUCUAAGGGGAUGCAAAGAAGCCAGCAAAGAAACCACAAUGAAGGCGGAAAGAACAAAAAGAAACCGCAAAGACGGUGGCUAGGGUUUAUGCCGAAGUAAGGCCCUCAAAAUCGGGAGCUCUGAUACCAUCAUAGAAUAUAGGUUGGGCCUAACUCAACCCUUACUAAACCGGCUUGUUAGGUGAGGACUACCCCCACUUAUAAAGUCGUAUUCAGGCCUUAUCUCAUCUAAUGGGGGGCUCUUGAUACAACCCCUUAUGCCCAGGAAUGACAUCUGGAGCGUGACCCAUGUGACCUGAUAUCAGAUGGUCCAACAAAUAUUGGACAGACUGAUACCUGGUGGAAAAUACUAUCUGAUAUAUUUCAAAUUCUUGAAUAAACUACAUGCACUAAUUUGUUUAAAUGCUCUAUUCUAAAUUCAAUGGGCUGGAUUAAUGAGCUGAACAUAAUUAUUAUUAAUAACUGCAAAUAUACAUUAUUGAUGACAACUUAUAAUGCAAAUUUUUCCACUGUAGGUGUCCUUGGGCCCUCUAAGAUUUGCUUCAACGUUUGUUCUUGUGGGGGAUCAUUAUCAACUGCCACCACUUGUCCAUGUAUGCGCCCUUAGUCUUGCAGUAUCAACACUUUCGUGUACAAAAUUCAUUGAUAACACUGAAUUGUGAAAUUUUUUAUCUGAACAUUCUUAGAGUACAGAGGCCCGAGAGAAUGGCAUGGGGAUGAGUUUAUUUUGUAGGCUUUCAGAAGCUCAUCCACAGGCAAUUUCAGCUUUACAGAGUCAGGUCUGUUGUAGCUACUACAUAUUUGCAUUACAAGCUAUGGUUUUGUCAUUUUUCCUUCCUUUUCUCUCUACAUCAGUUACUAAGUAAAAUGUAUACAGUACCGUAUGUGUCAGGGUAUUAUGGACUUGUCAAAUGCCUUGAUAUAUGGUGACAGACUGAGGUGUGGUACAUCUGAGAUAGCUAAUGCCAAACUUGAGUUUUCUGGCUUAAACUGCAGUUUGCCUUGGCUAGAAAAUGUAAGGAUAUUAUCUUCCAUAUUUGCAUUAUCUUAUUUGUGUGGAAUUUGUAUUUAUUGCGUAAUUUGUUUCGUUUAGUGGAGCUUCUACCCAAUUUCGAUGCAAUCAAUUUUGAUUUGUUUUUUCUGUAUAACUUUUUAUGUCUAUGUAUAGCUUAAUAUCUUAAUGUCAUUCUUUUGUUAGUUCUAUUCCCUCGUUUUAUUUUACUUAAUAAUGGAUGUGUACUUGUUACAGUGUUUGACUCCGAUGACCAAUGAGAAAUUAAGAGAACAGUUUACAUUACAACUUUUGAGAAGUUAGAUAAAGUGAUCAUUCUGAAACUGAAACUGUUUUCUGAAUUUUAAAGCGAUCUGAAUUUGUUACACUUAAAUUUUUAGAAAAUGGCUGAAAUUGGUUCUAAAUAUCUUGAGUUACUCUCAAUAUGUUCAUUUAUACUACUAAUAUGUAUCUAACCAAAGAUAAGGAUACAAACAAUCUCUAAUCUAAUAUAAUCUAUCAUAUUAUGUUAGAACAAAAUAUCUACAAUGAUAGUAUCAUCACAUGAUAUUUCAAAUUUAAAUAUCUCAACUCUGUCUCUCAAUGGCGUAUGCAUCUUACUUGUCACAUAGAUAAGAUAUUCUUGGUCCUAUAAGCAAUUUGGUGAAGAUAUCUUGCAACAGGUCAUUGGCAUUCACAAACAAUGUAUUUAUGAUCUCCCUAGGUUGAACUUCAUGAAUAAACUAACAAUUAGUCCCCGCUCACAAAGUCUUUAUUUUUCCUUUUCAUUAUAACAAUUAUCAAGGAUAUACAAACCACACAAGGUUAACUUUCCAUCAAAACUCCAACUACAUCAAGGGAAAUCAUUAAGAAAAGUGACAGUAUCUAUAUACUCAUUUUAGAUCACAAAUCAACUUGAAAUGUGGACAUAAAAUUCGCCAAUAUUAAUUCUAAACAUAAACAUUGGAUAGUUUUGGUCAAUAUUAAUGUAAAAUCAUAUGUUCCUAGAGUUUAAUCUUAUUCCUCAUUGUUCACAAAUGCAGGUUUUGAAUCCCAGAAGGCCAGUGAUAUUUAUAGAUACUGGUUUGUAUAUCAUCCUAUUUUCAUCAUUUAUCCUAAAGGACAUUGAAAAUGGGAUCACUAAUAUGAAUAUUUCUUUGCCACUCAGAUAUGCUGCCUGCCUUAGAGGAAAGGGAUCACAAAAUUGUAAAUAACCCUAUUGAAGCUCACAUAAUCGCUGAGGUAUGUCAUUUGUAUUUGCAAUACAACACAUUUUCUUGUUGGAAGAAUAUCAAACCUUGGACCAUGGAUAUUGAUUCUCAACAUAUUUCCGUUGAGAUUGUUGGAUACUGCGAAGGAUUAUUGUCUUCUGUAAACAUCCAACCCUUAGGAUUGAAUUGAUGAUUCUGACUAGCCAAAAUUUCAAUACUAUAGAGUAUUAACCAUGGUUAUCAAUAUAUUUUAUAAUACAGACGAGUCGUUCUAAUGAAUCAUAACUUGAACUUAGUGGAGCCAGCCACAUUUUUGUCCAAUUUUGUAUAGCCAACCAAUUUUUUGUCUAACUUUGUAUAGCCAGACAUGUCUCUUUGGUUAUUUUAUUUAUGACUUCAAUCUUGAACUGAGGUUCAAAUAUGAUAUAUUUUUGUUAUUUCACAUGUUUUUACAAAACAAUGCCAUUUCAUUCCUGGAUCAUUGUCUAUCAGAGAGAUUCUGAACAAUCAUUACAUUUAUUGAUGAUGAAAAUGAAUUCUUGAUGCAAGACAAAGUCUUUAUAUCUAUAUUUACAGACUGAGCCAACACUAACAAAAUUAAAACAGAAUGGAUCUACUAGCCAUUGUGAUGCUGAAUCAUUUUGAUAAAUCAUUGUAAUACAUAAUAAUAAAUCAUUGUGAUACUUACAAUUUUAAGGAUGGGGUUGUAUGCAAAAACAUGUAAUAGCUGAUAUAUUAGUAUUAGUGUCUCUUCGUCAAUGGCCUAAUGUUUUUUGUUUUUAUCAAAUGCUUUCUUAAUUCUUCCAUGUUUGGUUAUUAUACCUUGAGAUGAGAUAAUAUUGGUCGAUAUAAAACUUGUUUCAUUACUUUUUUGAUCUUAAUUCAUCAAUGCACCUGAUUAUUUUGGGACCAAAGUCAUCCCAUGUAAUUAUGUUGCUGCCAUCUGUUACUAGAAACAGUCCCAAUCCCAAAGGGGAACAGUUCUCAUUCAUUUUAUAAUGCAGGUUGCAAAGGAAUUGGUAAAAAAUGGAAUUGGAGGAGAGAACAUUGGCAUUAUUACUCCCUAUAAUUCACAGGCAAACCUCAUACGACAUGCUACUUGCAUAACAUCCUUAGAGAUACAUACCAUUGACAAAUACCAGGUAAGGCUGGAGCAAAAAUUAGAAGGGUUUAGUAUCUUUCUAAUCCUUAGAACUAUGCUUUUUUUAAUUCCUGUUUAAAAAAAUUUCAUUUCAAGAGACUAAUUGAUUAAAAAUGUCAUAAAUUGUCGAGUGUUUAGCAUUUCACUAAUAUUGAAGGCAUGCCUUAGUUUUUAUGCCUUGUUGUUUUACCUCAUUUACAAUUUGUUAUUUAGAGAACAUGAUACAACGAGAAAGAUCCUCAUAAAUUUGUCAUCUGUUUGUCCAGGGUAGAGAUAAAGACUGCAUAUUAGUAUCUUUUGUACGUUCUUGUGAGAACCCAACAAGCUGUGUCGCUUCUCUGCUGGGAGACUGGCACAGGAUAAAUGUGGCUCUUACUCGUGCUAAGGUAAUUUUGUUAUGCUCAAACUCUUCCUACUUUUCACUCAUAUAACUUUCACAUAAGUAAUUGGUAUGCAUGCUUCGUGAUUACAGAGAAAGUUGAUAAUGGUGGGGUCUCGUAAAACUCUAUUGAAGGUUCCAUUACUGAAGCUUCUGAUAAAGAAAGUUGAGGAGCAAUCUGGAAUUUUAAAUGUAUCUAAGAAGGAUAUCUAUAGUAAAGGAGAGCUGAUUAGAUGCUCUCAAAUUUCAUGUUCAGAACAAACAUUAGAUGUUCCUAAAUGAUGAGUCAAAAUUCUUUUCCCCAUUUUGAGAGGGGCUUGCGCAAUAUUAUAUACCAGAUGUAAAUAUGUAAUGUAUGAGUGUGUGUUUUGGGACUAAUUUAGAAAUGAAAUUCUGUAUAGUGUUUUAGUACACUCCAAAAGAAAGCUAUUUUCGGUUAUUUAAUUAAGAAAAAUGACCUGGAGUCAAAUACACAUGUCUAAAAGUCUAUCUUUAGUCAAUACAUAUGUAUAAUUCUCUCAUACAAAUUUCCUUUUAAGGUAGCAAAUUUGAGCAUGAACCUAUGGAAGCUGCAAUUUCUUUUGAAUGAAAUCCUAUAUCAUUUAUCUCUCCUCGAGAAGACUCCAUUUUCUUUUGUAAAAAUUUCAUUAUUAAUAUUAAAAAAAAUAUAAAAGAAUGAAAAAUUUCUCCCAACAAAUUCCACUAUGUAUGUUUUUUCCCAUUUAUUAAUUAAAACAAUAAUAAUAUAAGUGUUAUAUGCUUUCGAAUUUUUUUUAAAAAAACACUAAUUCGUUCAAUCGUUCAUGCUCUGCGUUGUGAAAAUGAAUUAGCUUCACUCAAAUUUAUUAUCAAAUAAAUUAGAGAAAGUUUUUGACAAAAAAAUAUAUAAAGCAUAAGAGAAGCAAACAUAUUAAAUUUGAAAUCCAAAUAUUUUACUUGUAAAUAAGACAUUGAAAAAUGAAAAUGCAACAUAUCCUGUUAUAUCAAUACAUGACAUAAAAAUGACAAAUGUGUCAAAUAUGCUAGUAACUAAAUCCCAAUACAAGAUUACAAAAUUCUAUACUAAUGUCAUAAUCUAGGACUUCAAGAUCCUCAUUAGAGACCAAAACAAUAUGUAGAGAUUACCUGCAAAACAAAAAACAUGAAAAGAAUUAGAAUGGAUGAUAAAAAGUUAUAAUUAUCAAUCAAACUAUAAAGUUAUCAAGUUUAACAUGAAAACAAUUAGAAUGAUCAUAGGUGGGUUCUAAUCUGGCAUAUAUGUGAUAGACAAACACUACCAAUCAAAGUAUAAAUUGAACAAAAUUUGGUAUCAAUUUAACUAUCCAUUGCAUUAUGCCUACAACUAAACUGACCUGCUGAUAUUAUACCAUCACAGACACAAACUAUACUCAUGAAAAUUCAUUUCAAACUCAGAAAAGAUUAGUAAACUGGCCUACUACUUCAUAUGAUUUUACAUUUGACAUUCUUUUAGGCUACUUUUACUAUAACCUUUGUGCAUUAUUAACUAGACAAGUGUAUACCGGGGAUACCUCAAGGAUGAAUCUGCACCAAUACAUAUGUAGAAAACACUACCUUCUACCGUAUGAUUGUCUUCCAUGGAAAGAACACAUUCUGAUAUCUUGAUAUCCUCCAAACGGCAAACCACGGCUUGCAUCCUAUGUGAACAUUGUUGUAAGGGUUAGUCAAUCAACCGAUGAUGAUAUGCCAUCAUGAGAUGGCAUCUAUCUUUAUUUCCUGUUACUGUCACGCAUAAGAAUGAAGAUGGACUACACUUUCAAUUUAGUUUUUUAUUAAAGUCAGACGUUGUUAACUUCAUAUUGUUGUUGAAGCUACAGUCUUCUGUUUUUUCUAGUCCGACAUAUUACAUAUUCAGUCC